CGUGCAGGCGGCCACCGCAAGUUGAAUGUGAAAUCCCCGGGCUUAACCCGGGAAGUGCGUUCAAGACUGCGGGGCUUGAAUACGGGAGAGGAUCGUGGAAUUCCUGGUGUAGAGGUGAAAUUCGUAGAUAUCAGGAGGAACACCAGUUGCGAAGGCGGCUCUCUGGACUGUAACUGACACUGAGGCACGAAAGCGUGGGGAGCAAACA
rnacentral:rRNA from 1 species